ACGGGACUCUUCGGAGUUCAGUGGCGGACGGGUGAGUAACGCGUGAGAAUCUGCCUAGAGGAUGGGGACAACCACGGGAAACUGUGGCUAAUACCCAAUGAGCGGAGACGUUAAAGAUUUAUCGCCUCUAGAGGAGCUCGCGUCUGAUUAGCUAGUUGGUGGGGUAAAAGCCUACCAAGGCGACGAUCAGUAGCUGGUCUGAGAGGACAACCAGCCACACUGGGACUGAGACACGGCCCAGACUCCUACGGGAGGCAGCAGUGGGGAAUUUUCCGCAAUGGGCGAAAGCCUGACGGAGCAAUACCGCGUGAGGGAGGGAGGCUCUUGGGUCGUAAACCUCUUUUCUCAGGGAAGAAGAAAGUGACGGUACCUGAGGAAUCAGCCUCGGCUAACUCCGUGCCAGCAGCCGCGGUAAUACGGAGGAGGCAAGCGUUAUCCGGAAUUAUUGGGCGUAAAGCGUCCGUAGGUGGCUCUUCAAGUCUGCUGUCAAAGAGUGGGGCUUAACUCCAGAAAGGCAGUGGAAACUGAAAGGCUAGAGAGCCGUAGGGGUAGAGGGAAUUCCCGGUGUAGCGGUGAAAUGCGUAGAGAUCGGGAAGAACAUCGGUGGCGAAAGCGCUCUACUGGACGGUAUCUGACACUGAGGGACGAAAGCUAGGGGAGCGA
rnacentral:rRNA from 1 species